rnacentral:rRNA from 2 species
CCGAACCGACUAAUGUUGAAAAAUUAGCGGAUGACCUGUGGCUGGGGGUGAAAGGCCAAUCAAACCGGGAGAUAGCUGGUUCUCCCCGAAAGCUAUUUAGGUAGCGCCUCGUGAAUUCAUCUCCGGGGGUAGAGCACUGUUUCGGCUAGGGGGCCAUCCCGGCUUACCAACCCGAUGCAAACUGCGAAUACCGGAGAAUGUUAUCACGGGAGACACACGGCGGGUGCUAACGUCCGUCGUGAAGAGGGAAACAACCCAGACCGCCAGCUAAGGUCCCAAAGUCAUGGUUAAGUGGGAAACGAUGUGGGAAGGCCCAGACAGCCAGGAUGUUGGCUUAGAAGCAGCCAUCAUUUAAAGAAAGCGUAAUAGCUCACUGGUCGAGUCGGCCUGCGCGGAAGAUGUAACGGGGCUAAACCAUGCACCGAAGC